UACGGAGGAUCCAAGCGUUAUCCGGAAUCAUUGGGUUUAAAGGGUCCGUAGGCGGUUUGGUAAGUCAGUGGUGAAAGCCCAUCGCUCAACGGUGGAACGGCCAUUGAUACUGCCAGACUUGAAUUAUUAGGAAGUAACUAGAAUAUGUAGUGUAGCGGUGAAAUGCUUAGAGAUUACAAUGGAAUACCAAUUGCGAAGGCAGGUUACUACUAAUGGAUUGACGCUGAUGGACGAAAGCGUGGGGAUCAAACAGG
rnacentral:rRNA from 1 species